ensembl:snoRNA
AAGACUAUACUUUCAGGGAUCAUUUCUAUAGUUUGUUACUAGAGAAGUUUCUCUGACUGUGUAGAGUACCUAAGACCAUGAGGAGGAGACGCAUUCUCUCCUGAGCGUGAAGCCGGCUCUAGGUGUUGCUUUAACUGCAACUGCUUUUUACCACUGAUGAUCGUUCUUAUCUCCCUCAGGAGAGUAGAGGAAGAGAAUGCAGUCUGAGUGGUU